rnacentral:rRNA from 1 species
GACAGGAGGGGGCAAGCGUUGCUCGGAAUUACUGGGCGUAAAGGGCGCGUAGGCGGGAUGGCAAGUCGGUCGUGAAAUCCCUCGGCUCAACCGAGGAACGUCGAUCGAUACUGCUGUUCUUGAGGGAUUGCAGAGGAGACUGGAAUUCCCGGAUGUAGCGGUGAAAUGGUGUCAGAGAUCGGGGAGGAACACCGGCGGCGGAAGGCGGGUAGCUGGG